rnacentral:lncRNA from 1 species
UCCCACAUUGAACCAGCAGCCCCUCCAUAUCUUUCUAUCCAAGGAGCAUUUUUAUUCCUUCUGCUUGCUACUCAAGCCCCCUCUCUACUCCUAUUAUCAGUACGGUCAACUGGGUUGAUUACUUACAUGCAUAAAAGACAAAUUAAAAAGCAAAGAGAAACCUUUUAAACACCAAAAACAUUAUAUCUUUCUUACUGUCCACCUGACUAGUUCACAGAUUGGCUCAUUCCAACAAUAAUUACUAAACACUAGACGAGUUUUGUCAGGGCUGGGGAUGGACCCCAAGCAGUGUAUCUGCAAACGUUCGCUCUAAAGGAGUAGUCACAAAUGAGCAUGUUCUACCUGAUCAGUCCCGGCCCCCCCGACACAUUGACACUAACCUUAGAGAGGCAGUCACCAAAUCCUGUGUAUUCACAACACUGGCAACGUUGCUACUAUCCUGAAUGAGAAACAUGGUGAGUCUAAUCAACAGAAACCCUGUUCCUGGAGGCAAGAAGAUCCAGUGGUCUCCAGAGUGUUCAAACAUAACCGUCUUGUAACUGGCAGGAAGAUUGAGGGGAAUCAGGAUGGGGGUGGGACUUGAACACUUCUUUGAAGUGGCAUGUGGGCAGGAAAGCGAAGACAUCCUGUAGUGAAGAGUGCAUCGUUCUUCAAAAACGGGUUAAAAAAAUUCCCAUGUAGCAAAGAACAUAGAAAUGUAACCGUGUCGUUAAUUUCUGAGUCUCUUUAGAAAGACCGUUGGUGCUGGUUUGUGUUUGCUGGAGCUUCCAGAAGAAAACUAAUGGAAAAGUGGAGGGGGAGGAGGAGGACGAAGACUGGGGAAAGAAAGUGUGAAGCUGUCUUUAACAUGCAGGUCAUACAAAGGAUUCUGUGUUUGUUUGUUUUUUUCCUCUUUUUUUUUUUUUUUGUUUCCCCCUCUUGGACACUUCCAAUUCAAGAAAUGGCAACACGCACAUGGCUUCCAGUUUUUAAAGCAAAGAACAUAGUUCCCAUGGACUGUGCUGUAAAGUUCAUUCCUGCUGAUCUUCAUUGCUGGCACUUGGAGUUCGACUCCUGAUCUGGCUUCGUAGCUGCUCUAUUAGUUCAGGAUUCUGCUGCUGCAUCUGCUGCGCAAACUGCUGGCCCGCUUGUAUGAGGCUGGCAAGAUCAUUCGUGGAGGGGCUGGUGCCUGCUGCUCCCAUGGGGUUAUGGCCACCAGAAAUCAUCCCAGACAUGAGCUGUUGUACUUGUGGAUUGUUCAUUAGGUUAGAUGCCAUACUCAUGAAGCCAGGGUUGUUCAGCAAGCCAGCUAAAUCGAAUCCUCCAGGACCUCCGGUCGGACUAGGAGUCUCCUUCAUUUUCUGUUCGGCUAUUUUAAGGUUGGAUUUGUACGUGUCGUUGUCUGGAUCAAGCUCCAGGGCUUUUUUGUAGUAGACA